CGCUGGCGGCAGGCCUAUCACAUGCAAGUCGAGCGGUAACAGAUCCAGCUUGCUGGAUGCUGACGAGCGGCGGACGGGUGAGUAAUGCAUAGGAAUCUGCCCGAUAGUGGGGGAUAACCUGGGGAAACCCAGGCUAAUACCGCAUACGUCCUACGGGAGAAAGGGGGCUCCGGCUCCCGCUAUGGGAUGAGCCUAUGUCGGAUUAGCUAGUUGGUGAGGUAGCGGUUCACCAAGGCCACGAUCCGAACCUGGUCUGAAAGGAUGAUCAGCCACAUCGGGACUGAGACACGGCCCGAACUCCUACGGGAGGCAGCAGUGGGGAAUAUUGGACAAUGGGGGCAACCCUGAUCCAGCCAUGCCGCGUGUGUGAAGAAGGCCCUCGGGUUGUAAAGCACUUUCAGCGAGGAAGAACGCCUAGCGGUUAAUACCCGCUAGGAAAGACAUCACUCGCAGAAGAAGCACCGGCUAACUCCGUGCCAGCAGCCGCGGUAAUACGGAGGGUGCAAGCGUUAAUCGGAAUUACUGGGCGUAAAGCGCGCGUAGGUGGCUUGAUAAGCCGG
rnacentral:rRNA from 1 species